rnacentral:rRNA from 1 species
UCGUCCUACGGGAGGCAGCAGUGGGGAAUAUUGGACAAUGGGCGCAAGCCUGAUCCAGCCAUGCCGCGUGAGUGAUGAAGGCCUUAGGGUUGUAAAGCUCUUUUACCAGGGAAGAUAAUGACGGUACCUGAGAUAGCCCCCGCUCCCCC